UACAGAGGUGCCGAGCGUUAGGCGGAAUCACUGGGCUUAAAGGGUGUGUAGGCGGACUUCUAAGUACCUUGUGAAAUCCCACGGCUCACCCGUGGAACUGCUGGGUAUACUGGUCGUCUUGAGCCACCUAGGGGCCAGCGGAACAAAUGGUGGAGCGGUGAAAUGCGUAGAUAUCAUUUGGAACGCCAACGGUGAAAACAGCUGGCUGGGGGUGUGCUGACGCUGAGACACGAAAGCCAGGGGAGCGAACGGG
rnacentral:rRNA from 1 species